CCUACGGGAGGCAGCAGUGGGGAAUUUUGCACAAUGGGCGAAAGCCUGAUGCAGCAACGCCGCGUGUGUGAUGAAGGUCUUCGGAUUGUAAAGCACUUUCGACCGGGACGAAACACCGUCAGUUAAUACCUGACGGCCUGACGGUACCGGGAGAAGAAGCACCGGCUAACUCUGUGCCAGCAGCCGCGGUAAUACAGAGGGUGCAAGCGUUGUUCGGAAUUAUUGGGCGUAAAGCGCGUGUAGGCGGCUUUGCAAGUCGGGUGUGAAAGCCCUCGGCUCAACCGAGGAAGUGCGCCCGAAACUGCUUUGCUUGAGUAUCGGAGAGGGUCGCGGAAUUCCCCAAGUAGAGGUGAAAUUCGUAGAUAUGGGGAGGAACACCGGUGGCGAAGGCGGCGACCUGGACGAUAACUGACGCUGAGACGCGAAAGCGUGGGGAGCAA
rnacentral:rRNA from 1 species